rnacentral:rRNA from 1 species
ACGGGUGAGUAACGCGUGAGCAACCUGUCUUACACAGGGGGAUAACACUCCGAAAGGAGCGCUAAUACCGCAUAGGACCACGGUGCUGCAUGGCAUUGAGGUGAAAGGAGGAAUCCGGUGUAAGGUGGGCUCGCGUCCCAUUAGAUAGUUGGUGAGGUAACGGCUCACCAAGUCGACGAUGGGUAGCCGACCUGAGAGGGUGAUCGGCCACAUUGGAACUGAGAUACGGUCCAGACUCCUACGGGAGGCAGCAGUGGGGAAUAUUGGGCAAUGGGCGCAAGCCUGACCCAGCAACGCCGCGUGAGGGAAGAAGGUCUUCGGGUUGUAAACCUCUGUCCUAAGUGAAAAGGAAGGAUGGUAGCUUAGGAGGAAGCCCCGGCUAACUACGUGCCAGCAGCCGCGGUAAUACGUAGGGGGCGAGCGUUGUCCGGAAUGAUUGGGCGUAAAGGGCGUGUAGGCGGCUGUAUAAGUCUGGAGUGAAAGUCCCGUUUUCAAGAUGGGAAUUGCUUUGGAUACUGUACAGCUUGAGUGCAGGAGAGGUUAUCGGAAUUCCCGGUGUAGCGGUGAAAUGCGUAGAGAUCGGGAGGAACACCAGUGGCGAAGGCGGGUAACUGGACUGCAACUGACGCUGAGGCGCGAAAGUGUGGGGAGCAAACAGGAUUAGAUACCCUGGUAGUCCACACUGUAAACGAUGAAUGCUAGGUGUAGGGGGUAUCGACCCCUUCUGUGCCGCAGUCAACACAAUAAGCAUUCCGCCUGGGGAGUACGGCCGCAAGGUUGAAACUCAAUGAAUUGACGG